UGGAAAUGGUCCUUGAGUUUCAAAUGUUCUGGGAAAUCCAGUCAUCUCUGGGCUUCCUCAGUCUCCCUUUCAACUUGCUGAAAUGAGUCCCUCUAGGCUCAGAGUUCUUGCCUGGUCUCAGGUGCCAGCAAUGGCUGCAGGGAAGAUUUCCCACAGUGGGCCUCUGAGGGUGUUUGAGAGAGUCUUGGUCUUUCCUGUCACACAGCUGGUCCUUGACACCAGGCUUCGAAUGUAAAGUAAAGCUAGGGAUGUGCCCACAGCUGGAAGGUACUUGUGUGGCUCAUUUAGGAGUUGACCUGGGUGAAGGACCUUGGGCCCUGGGUAGAGCUGGGGACCCAGCAGAAGCCCCUGGGAUUCCAAGCACCUUUUUCCAUUGUAACAUUUUCAUGCUUUUAUCCAUUUCAUGCUUUGCUGCUGUGGCUUAUUUUCCCCUUGUUUUACCCCCUUCUCUUCUCCCCCCCCCCCCACCACCCAGGGGGAAAUGAGAGUGCCCUUCUUCUCAUUCCAGUCCUCUGUCCUUGGGCUCACACACCAUGGGAAUGAAGGCAUUCAGACUUCCAGGGUGGCACCAGAGAUCUAAGAACCAGCCCACUCUGAAGUCUGGAAUGCAGUGCCUUCGAAUCACCUCUUUGAAAGCCCAGUUCCCCCUGGGGGUCAGGACCACAGCCCCUGGACUGGAGUCCUCUGUGUUUCUCCUUUGUUAGCAAAGCAAUGAAACUUUUUUCUUUUUUCUCAAAACUGUCCUCAUUUAUUGGAUUGGCAUGGGGGGACGGAGGACGAGCUUUCAGUAAGACUGUGUGCUAAAGAACACCCCCCCCCGGGGGGGGCUCACCUGGGGUGUGAAAGCGCUCCCUGGAAGCUGGUCUUCUUUUGUUUUCCCUCACUAGAACCUGGCUCUGGGUUAGACUGCCAGAAAUCCUCUGCCACUGAGACACUCAAGGAUCACACUAGAAAUAAAGUAGAUGUGGUCUACUCUUUUCCCUCCAUAAUGCAAAAUAGAAGAUGGUUGGAAUCUUAACCCAGUUACCACUUUGUGAGAGGUGGGACACCAGAGUUGGCUGCAAGGACUUCACCCUCCUGGCGAGGGGACAGCUGAUGGCAGAACAGAGGUGGAGGUUGCAGGUCCACAUGCCAGCAUGUCACCCAUUUGCCUUUAGGGAGUGUGGGGAGUCGUGUCAGAACCUGCAGGCAAGCCGUGGCUCUGGUUGACCCUGGUGUGCCUCCUGGGUGUACCAGUCAGGAUGGGAAAGAGGAGCGAUGUCUCAAGCCACACCUCUUGGCACCACCCAGACCUCUCAAGGCCAGGAUUGAUUUUGUGGGUAGAGCUGGACUGAAUCAGAUACAUGCUAGUGAUUUUAGCAGCAAUGAGAAAUGACUUUUUGUAAGG
rnacentral:lncRNA from 1 species